rnacentral:tRNA from 2 species
CGGUGAUUAGCGCAGUCAGGUAGCGCAACUGGUUAGGGACUAGUGGGUCGGGGGUUCGAAUCCCUCAUCACCGACCA